rnacentral:rRNA from 1 species
AGCGAACAGACGAGGAGCUUGCUCCUCUGACGUUAGCGGCGGACGGGUGAGUAACACGUGGAUAACCUACCUAUAAGACUGGGAUAACUUCGGGAAACCGGAGCUAAUACCGGAUAAUAUAUUGAACCGCAUGGUUCAAUAGUGAAAGACGGUUUUGCUGUCACUUAUAGAUGGAUCCGCGCCGCAUUAGCUAGUUGGUAGGGUAACGGCUUACCAAGGCGACGAUGCGUAGCCGACCUGAGAGGGUGAUCGGCCACACUGGAACUGAGACACGGUCCAGACUCCUACGGGAGGCAGCAGUAGGGAAUCUUCCGCAAUGGGCGAAAGCCUGACGGAGCAACGCCGCGUGAGUGAUGAAGGUCUUCGGAUCGUAAAACUCUGUUAUUAGGGAAGAACAAAUGUGUAAGUAACUAUGCACGUCUUGACGGUACCUAAUCAGAAAGCCACGGCUAACUACGUGCCAGCAGCCGCGGUAAUACGUAGGUGGCAAGCGUUAUCCGGAAUUAUUGGGCGUAAAGCGCGCGUAGGCGGUUUUUUAAGUCUGAUGUGAAAGCCCACGGCUCAACCGUGGAGGGUCAUUGGAAACUGGAAAACUUGAGUGCAGAAGAGGAAAGUGGAAUUCCAUGUGUAGCGGUGAAAUGCGCAGAGAUAUGGAGGAACACCAGUGGCGAAGGCGACUUUCUGGUCUGUAACUGACGCUGAUGUGCGAAAGCGUGGGG